rnacentral:rRNA from 1 species
ACGCUCGACACCUACGAGGCAGCAGUGGGGAAUAUUGCACAAUGGGGGAAACCCUGAUGCAGCGACGCCGCGUGAAGGAAGAAGUAUCUCGGUAUGUAAACUUCUAUCAGCAGGGAAGAAAAUGACGGUACCUGACUAAGAAGCCCCGGCUAACUACGUGCCAGCAGCCGCGGUAAUCUGAGCGGGCUGGCAAGGC